GUUUAUUUGUUUUUGGAGUCUUGUGUCAGUGGUUUUUGAUGUCUGUUGUGCAGUUCUGUAUUUUUGGUGACUCCUGUUAUUCAGGUUGGUCAGAUAGACAUAUUAGAAAUCAUUUUGAAACUAAAACAUUGUACACAAUGUAAUACAAUUGAGGUCAUCCUAUGUUGCAACUAGCCAUGGCAACAUUGGAUAUAAAGGACU
rnacentral:lncRNA from 1 species